GGGGUUGGGUAUAGCUCAGUGGUAGAGCGCAUGCUUCGCAUGCACGAGGUCCUGGGUUCAAUCCCCAGUACCUCCA
rnacentral:tRNA from 1 species